AUUUAUCUAAUAUAAAAAGUAUACUUGACUUCCAAUCAAGAAGUUCAAAAAAUGAGAUAAAUA
rnacentral:tRNA from 2 species